GACGAACGCUGGCGGCGUGCCUAAUACAUGCAAGUCGAGCGAAGUUUUUCUGGUGCUUGCACUAGAAAAACUUAGCGGCGAACGGGUGAGUAACACGUAAAGAACCUGCCUCAUAGACUGGGACAACUAUUGGAAACGAUAGCUAAUACCGGAUAACAGUAUUUCUCGCAUGAGAGAUAUUUAAAAGUUGGUUAUGCUAACACUAUGAGAUGGCUUUGCGGUGCAUUAGCUAGUUGGUGGGGUAAAGGCCCACCAAGGCGACGAUGCAUAGCCGACCUGAGAGGGUGAUCGGCCACACUGGGACUGAGACACGGCCCAGACUCCUACGGGAGGCAGCAGUAGGGAAUCUUCCGCAAUGGGCGAAAGCCUGACGGAGCAACGCCGCGUGAGUGAAGAAGGAUUUCGGUUCGUAAAGCUCUGUUGUUAGGGAAGAAUGGAUAUGUAGUAACUAUACAUGUAAGAGACGGUACCUAACCAGAAAGCCGCGGCUAACUACGUG
rnacentral:rRNA from 1 species